rnacentral:snRNA from 1 species
AUACUCGCUUCUGUAGAACAUAAACUAAAAUUGGGACAAAACAGAUUAGUAUGGUCCCAGUACAAAAAUGAUAGACAAAAUAGACAAAUUUGUGAAGUAUUU